CCUACGGGGUGCAGCAGUGAGGAAUAUUGGUCAAUGGGCGCGAGCCUGAACCAGCCAAGUCGCGUGAGGGAAGACGGUCCUAUGGAUUGUAAACCUCUUUUGUCGGGGAGCAAAAGACGCCACGCGUGGCGGUCCGAGAGUACCCGAAGAAAAAGCAUCGGCUAACUCCGGUCCAGCAGCCGCGGUAAUACGGAGGAUGCGAGCGUUGUCCGGAUUUAUUGGGUUGAAAGGGGGCGCAGGCGGAAGAUCAAGUCAGCGGUAAAAUUGAGAGGCUCAACCUCUUCGAGCCGUUGAAACUGGUUUUCUUGAGUGAGCGAGAAGUAUGCGGAAUGCGGGGUGUAGCGGUGAAAUGCAUAGAUAUCACGCAGAACUCCGAUUGCGAAGGCAGCAUACCGGCGCUCAACUGACGCUCAUGCACGAAAGUGUGGGUAUCGAACAGGAUUAGAUACCCCUGUAGUC
rnacentral:rRNA from 1 species